AAAUUGAAGAGUUUGAUCAUGGCUCAGAUUGAACGCUGGCGGCAGGCCUAACACAUGCAAGUCGAACGGUAACAGGAAGCAGCUUGCUGCUUCGCUGACGAGUGGCGGACGGGUGAGUAAUGUCUGGGAAACUGCCUGAUGGAGGGGGAUAACUACUGGAAACGGUGGCUAAUACCGCAUAACGUCGCAAGACCAAAGAGGGGGACCUUCGGGCCUCUUGCCGUCAGAUGUGCCCAGAUGGGAUUAGCU
rnacentral:rRNA from 1 species